rnacentral:rRNA from 1 species
UGAACGCUGGCGGCAGGCCUAACACAUGCAAGUCGAACGGUAACAGGAAGCAGCUUGCUGCUUUGCUGACGAGUGGCGGACGGGUGAGUAAUGUCUGGGAAACUGCCUGAUGGAGGGGGAUAACUACUGGAAACGGUAGCUAAUACCGCAUAACGUCGCACGACCAAAGAGGGGGACCUUCGGGCCUCUUGCCAUCGGAUGUGCCCAGAUGGGAUUAGCUAGUAGGUGGGGUAACGGCUCACCUAGGCGACGAUCCCUAGCUGGUCUGAGAGGAUGACCAGCCACACUGGAACUGAGACACGGUCCAGACUCCUACGGGAGGCAGCAGUGGGGAAUAUUGCACAAUGGGCGCAAGCCUGAUGCAGCCAUGCCGCGUGUAUGAAGAAGGCCUUCGGGUUGUAAAGUACUUUGCAGCGGGGAGGAAGGCGAUAAGGUUAAUAACCUUGUUCGAUUGACGUUACCCGCAGAAGAGCACCGGCUAACU